rnacentral:piRNA from 1 species
UCUCAAUUUUGAAGCAUUAUU